rnacentral:rRNA from 1 species
GACGAACGCUGGCGGCGUGCUUAACACAUGCAAGUCGAACGAAGUGGCGCACGGGUGAGUAACGCGUCAUCCACCUGCCCUUCAGAGGGGGACAACAGUUGGACACGACUGCUAAUACCGCAUACUGAAGCAGGGUAUUUCGUCUGAUGAGCUAGUUGGAGGGGUAACGGCCCACCAAGGCGAUGAGCAGUAGCCGGGAUGAGAGGAGGAACGGCAAAAAUGGGACUGAGACACGGCCCAGACUCCUACGGGAGGCAGCAGUGGGGAAUCUUCCGCAAGGGACGAAAGGCUGACGGAGCAACGCCGCGGGAGGGAUGACGGCCGUCGGGUUGGAAAGCUCUGUUAAUCGGGACGCGGUACCGGAAUAGAAAGCCACGGCUAACUACGUGCCAGCAGCCGCGGUAAUUC